GGGCCCGCACAAGCGGUGGAGCAUGUGGUUUAAUUCGAUGAUACGCGAGGAACCUUACCAGGGCUUAAAUGCAGUAUGACAGAUUUGGAAACAGAUUUUUCUUCGGACAUAUUGCAAGGUGCUGCAUGGUUGUCGUCAGCUCGUGCCGUGAGGUGUCAGGUUAAGUCCUAUAACGAGCGCAACCCCUAUUUCUAGUUGCCAGCACAUAAUGGUGGGGACUCUAGAGAGACUGCCGGUGCAAACCGUGAGGAAGGUGGGGAUGACGUCAAAUCAUCACGGCCCUUACGUCCUGGCUACACACGUGCUACAAUGGUAGGGACAGAGAGCAGCCACUUCGCGAGAAGGAGCGAA
rnacentral:rRNA from 1 species